rnacentral:misc_RNA from 1 species
AACCAUAGAAACCUGCGGAGUACCUGCGGAGGGAUCAUUACCAGAGAGCCUUUUGGCACUCCAACCCAUUGUGAACAUACCUAUCGUUCCCUCGGCGGGCUCAGCGCGCGGGGCCUCCGGGCUUCCGGGCGUCCGCCGGGGACAACCAAACCCUGAUUUACUACGUGUAUCUCUGAGGGGCGAAAGCCCGAAAACAAAAUAAAUCAAAACUUUUAACAACGGAUCUCAGAUCGGAAGAGC